GCGGAUUGCACGGGCACACUGAAAACAACAAAACCAAAAAUAAAACUAAACUUACAAACACUGAAAUGGAAUUAAAUCUGGAAUCCCGGAAGUUGAAAUAUCUGGCACGAGACAUCAUAAUUUGUAACGAUGUAAAAGCAUUGCUAUGGAAUUGAAUCAUCCUACAUCCGGUUGCACCGGAUGCUAAACACUCAGUAGGAUAUCAAUUGAUGAAAUCACAGCUUAAGGCAAAACAUUUUAUUUAACCAGUGAUCCCCUACUCUCGACUUUUUCGACAAAAACAAUGAUUACAACAACUUAAUUGAUUAAUAAAAUAUUUACGUAGUCGAAAUGUCUACCCCUUUAUCAUUGAAAAUUGAUUGCUGAUCGAUAA